GGAUCAUUGACAUUUAGGGAUGUGGCCAUAGAAUUCUCUCUGGAGGAGUGGCAAUGCCUGGACACUGCACAGCAGAAUUUAUAUAGAAAUGUGAUGUUAGAGAACUACAGAAACCUGGUCUUCCUGGGUAUUGCUGCCUUUAAGCCAGACCUGAUCAUUUUUCUGGAGGAAGGAAAAGAGUCCUGGAAUAUGAAGAGACAUGAGAUGGUGGAAGAAUCCCCAGUUAUAUGUUCUCAUUUUGCUCAAGAUCUUUGGCCAGAGCAGGGCAUAGAAGAUUCUUUCCAAAAAGUGAUAUUGAGAAG
rnacentral:circRNA from 1 species